UACGUAGGGUGCGAGCGUUAAUCGGAAUUACUGGGCGUAAAGCGUGCGCAGGCGGUUCGUUAUGUCCGAUGUGAAAGCCCCGAGCUCAACUUGGGAAUGGCAUUGGAAACUGGCGGGCUGGAGUGUGGCAGAGGGGGGUGGAAUUCCACGUGUAGCAGUGAAAUGCGUAGAUAUGCGGAGGAACACCGAUGGCGAAGGCAAUCCCCUGGGCCUGCACUGACGCUCAUGCACGAAAGCGUGGGGAGCAAACAGG
rnacentral:rRNA from 1 species